AGAGUUUGAUCAUGGCUCAGGAUGAACGCUGGCGGCGUGCCUAAUACAUGCAAGUCGAGCGAGAAUCAGUGAUGUAGAGAUUCGUCAAAGCGGAUCUGAGGAAAGCGGCGGACGGGUGAGUAACGCGUAGGCAACCUGCCCUUAGCAGAGGGAUAGCCAUUGGAAACGAUGAUUAAAACCUCAUAAUGCUGUUUUUUACACAUGUAGAGACAGCCAAAGAUUUAUCGGCUAAGGAUGGGCCUGCGUCUGAUUAACUAGUUGGUGAGGUAACGGCCCACCAAGGUGACGAUCAGUAGCCGACCUGAGAGGGUGAUCGGCCACAUUGGAACUGAGACACGGUCCAAACUUCUACGGAAGGCAGCAGUAAGGAAUCUUGCACAAUGGGGGAAACCCUGAUGCAGCAACGCCGCGUGAACGAUGAAGGCCUUAGGGUUGUAAAGUUCUGAUCUGCGGGAAGAAGAAGUGACGGUACCACAGGAGAAAGCCCCGGCUAAAUACGUGCCAGCCGCCGC
rnacentral:rRNA from 1 species